rnacentral:rRNA from 1 species
UACGUAGGGCGCAAGCGUUGUCCGGAAUUAUUGGGCGUAAAGAGCUCGUAGGCGGUCUGUUACGUCCGCUGUGAAAACCCAGGGCUUAACCCUGGGCUUGCAGUGGAUACGGGCAGACUAGAGGCAGGUAGGGGAGAAUGGAAUUCCCGGUGUAGCGGUGAAAUGCGCAGAUAUCGGGAGGAACACCGGGUGGCGAAGGCGGUUCUCUGGGCCUGACCUGACGCUGAGGAGCGAAAGCGUGGGGAGCGAACAGGAUAGAA